rnacentral:tRNA from 1 species
CCUGGUGGCUCAGAUGGUAAAGAAUCUGCCUGCAGUGCAGGAGACCCAGGUUCAAUUCCUGGGUCAGGA